GGGGCCGUAGUCUAGCCUGGCUAGAGGUACAAGUACCGGCCACGAUGCCGGCCUGGGGCUAGGCCCCGUACCAGAGCGCCGGUGAGCCCGGGUUCAAAUCCCGGCGGCCCCA
rnacentral:tRNA from 1 species